AUUGAACGCUGGCGGAAUGCUUUACACAUGCAAGUCGAGCGGCAGCGCGGGGGCAACCCUGGCGGCGAGCGGCGAACGGGUGAGUAACAUAUCGGAACGUACCCAGUCGUGGGGGAUAACUAUCCGAAAGGAUAGCUAAUACCGCAUACGUCCUGAGGGAGAAAGCGGGGGAUCGCAAGACCUCGCGCGAUUGGAGCGGCCGAUAUCGGAUUAGCUAGUUGGUGGGGUAAAGGCUCACCAAGGCGACGAUCCGUAGCGGGUCUGAGAGGAUGAUCCGCCACACUGGGACUGAGACACGGCCCAGACUCCUACGGGAGGCAGCAGUGGGGAAUUUUGGACAAUGGGCGCAAGCCUGAUCCAGCCAUGCCGCGUGCGGGACGAAGGCCUCGG
rnacentral:rRNA from 1 species